GCAGCAGCCGCGGUAAUACGGAGGGUGCAAGCGUUAUCCGGAUUUAUUGGGUUUAAAGGGUCCGUAGGCGGAUCUGUAAGUCAGUGGUGAAAUCUCACAGCUUAACUGUGAAACUGCCAUUGAUACUGCAGGUCUUGAGUAAAUUUGAAGUGGCUGGAAUAAGUAGUGUAGCGGUGAAAUGCAUAGAUAUUACUUAGAACACCAAUUGCGAAGGCAGGUCACUAAGAUUUAACUGACGCUGAUGGACGAAAGUGUGGGGAGCGAACAGGAUUAGAUACCCCUGUAGUCCCUGUCUCUUAUAU
rnacentral:rRNA from 1 species